ensembl:lncRNA
ACCUCGACCACUGCAAUAACCUUCGAACUAUAGCUUCCCUGCUUGAUUCUGCUGUCACUCAAAAACCCUUCAGUAACCAUGGCGCCCCAAGAAAGAGUACCGCUUCCUUAGCUUGGUAUUCCGGGUGGACUCUGAUUUGACCUCCACUUUUCAUUUCGUAAUACUUGGCAUUUGCUGGACACUUAAAAUGUGCCAGGUGUUUCUCUAAUCGUCAAAAUAAACAAGUUCAUCGAAGUGUCCCCUGUGUCUCUACAUGGAGUGUGAAGUACUGAAUGUCAUCGAGGACAACUCCAAGAUUCUUAGUCUGAAAACUGGAAGACUGAAGCUGAUGUUUAUUAAGAUGGAAAAUCUGGGAAGAGCAGGUUGGCUGUGGCUGUGUGGACUUCAUCCCAGGACCCAGGCUGAGGGAGCAGGGAUAUUUCUGGUGUUAGAACAGAGGGAAGAAAGAGCACAGUGAAGCCACAUGAUGGCCCUUAAGGCUUCUUCUCAGAAUUGGCACAUGUCACUUCUACUCACCUAUCAUUAACCAAAGCAAGUCACGUGACCAACCCUGACAUCAGCAGAACAGAUUAAAUAUAUUCCCAGGACUGGAAAAAGUAAAACAUAUUUCAACCAAUAAUACAGUCUACUACAGAUGCCUAUUUGACAUCUAAUUGGCAAUGUUAUUUGGUAGUUGGAUAUAUGAGCCUGAAGUUCAAGAGAGAAGUCCCAGCUGGAAAUAGAAACCUUAGAAUCUUUAGCAUAUAGUAUUUACACAUAUGAAUUUAGAAGAGAUCACCAAAGGAGUAAGUAUAAAUAUAAAAGAAAGAAGUUCCAAGGACUGAGCUUGGGGCCCUCUGACAUUUAGAAAUCAGAGAAAUGAGAAAUUGUCAAACAUGACUGAGAAAAGUGUCCUGUGAGAACCAGAAGGAGGACCAGGAGAAAGUGGUGUGCUAGAGGUAAAGCAAAGAUUAUUCCAAGUAGGAGGGAGUAAUCAACUCUGUCAAAGGCUGCUGGCAGGGUAAGAAGAGGAGGACUGGGAAUUGAGUGGAGGUGGUUGAUAAAGCUAAUAAAAGCAGCCUUACUGUUUGGGUCGAGGAAGAAGCUUGAUUCUACUGCGUUUAAGGGAGAAUGAUGGUAAAUGAAUUAAAGGUAGCUAGUAUGCACAGACCAAACAGAUUAUUCACAGGAAAAAAAGAAGGUACACAAAGAUUGUCAGAGACCAUAAGCUACACUGAUAAAGGUCGGCAGAGGCUGAGAUCCUGGAAUGUCUAAGCACAGGAGCAGUGACUGUUGCCAAUUCAAAGUAAAUAUAUAUCAUUCACGUCCAUGUACUCAGGUGUCUCCAUUUCUUGGAGCCUGAGAAAGCUACAGUAACUUACCAUUCUUUCCCCACCAAUUAGCUCCACCUUCAUCACAAAGUUCCUUUUCAUGUGUCUCUUCCAUCAACUCCUAGUGUUGGAGUGCCCCAGGGCUUACUUCUUGCUCUUCUCUAUCUUCAUUUACUCCUGUAAUCUCAUAGCUCUCAAUAUUUAUAUGCUCAUGACUUCCACAUUUCUAACUCUAUUCAUACCUUUCUCCAAAUCAAAACUCAACUGCAUACUUGUUAUUUCUACUCGGAUGUCCAAUAGAUUGAACUGCUGAUCUCCCCACUACAGGCCUCUUUUAUUCACAGAUUUCUGAUCUGGGUUGAUGACAACCUAAUCCUUCCAGCUCUAGAUCCUGUCCCUCCUCUGCUCAAAACCUCCAUUCCCAUCGGCAGAACAAUUAAGAAACUUGCAAGCUAGCCCUGGUCGCCUAGUGGUUAAAGUUCAGUGUGCUCCACUUUGGUGGCCUGGGUUCAGCUCUGGGCACAGAACCACAGCACUUGUCUGUCAGUAGCCAUGCUGUGGCAGUGGCUCACACAGAAGAACAAGAAGGACUUACAACUAGAAUAUACAACUGUGUACAGCGGCUUUGGGGAGAAAAAAAAAGAGAGAAAGGAAGAUUGGCAACAGAUGUUAGCUCAGGGCAAAUCUUUCCCAGCAAAAAAGAAGAAAAGGAAACUUGCCCAAUGUCACCCCAUUCAUCAGUGACAGAGCUGAGACUUGAACCCAAACAGUCGUAUGGGGACCUGUGUUCUUAACCACAGUACUUUACCACAUGCAUAUGUUCAAUAGGUUACAAGGUGGUAUGUGGAGUAGGAGUGCCUGUUUGUUAAAUAUAUGUAUGGGCUUGUGAGAAAAUGCCCGAAAGGUUAUAUACAAAAUAUAUUUGUACUCUGAUCUCUGGAUGAAUACAUUAUGGCUUGGAUUUUUCCUUUUUAUUUAUCUGUAUAUUUUACAUUUUCGACAAUGAAAAUAUCUUACUUUUGUCAGAAGGAAAACAUUCUAACAGAUUUUUUCAACUCAGGAUUCCAGAUAAACUUCCUUUCCUUUAAUCAUUUUCUGUUUCGUAAUCUCAUUCCAUAAAUUUUUUAGUUGUUCAACCCGAUAUCAGAAAAUACGGGCAUUUUCAGGCAGAUUUCUUGGUAUUUCUAGCAGAGACGGACUUUAGAGCUGCUACAACCAUAUGUCUGAUACAGUGUAGUAAUUCUUUCCAUUUUACAGUGAGAACAUGGAAAGUGUGUUGGUGGGUUUGUCUUAAUCUCAUAAAGUAUCAUCUCAGCAGUAGACACCCCUUUUCCACAUUCUGAAUAGAAAUCUCCUGAACAUCAAUACAAAGAGUUCCCCUGGCUUACAUUUAGUAAAUAGAAAUAACUUUUUGCCGUUUCACCAGUGAUGAGGAUUUUAGGCUGGUUGAUUUUAAAAAACUGCAGAUGAGAAGCAGGCUCUGAGGACUGGAAUUUCUUGCCCUUGGAGAGAUAUUUGCAUUUGUGAAGGAAGGGGGGGAUGACCUUGUAGGGACCUGAAAUUGGUCACCCCAGGAUAUGUCUCUUUGGCAUCGGGACUGUUUGGGGCUGAUUGCUUUUGAUAAACUGGGACAGGGAAGGAGGCUCUGAGGAAUGGAACUUGCCCUUGUUGGGACACAUUUACGUUUGUAAGGUAAAUCUCUAUCUGUAAAAGGUGCCUCCCUCUCUGUACCAGGAAGAAGAAGGGAGAUGACCUUGUCCCUAGAAACUCUUAAUGGGGAAGGCAAGAACUUAAGUUGGUUGCUGUCUGGCAAUCUCAUGUAACUGAUUUAGGGUGGUGGCUUCUAACCUUUCUAACCUUUACUUAAUCCUAUUUGAUUCUUGUCUAAAAGUCAUGGGAUCACCCAAUGACCAGACCCCACCUGCACUGAUACCAUGUUAACUUUUUUUCAUAUUCUUUCCUUUGUCUUGUAAAGAGAUGACUCACAUAGCCAUGCCUUAUAAAAUUAGCCCUAACCCUCAACUCGGGGCAGCAGCAGCAUCUCUGCCUGCCCGUGGGCCCUGUCCCCAUGCCAGCAGCAGAAGCUCUGACUGCCCAUGGGUCCUGUCCCCAUGCUAUUCUAUUCUCUAAAUAAAAGAGCACUACUGCC